rnacentral:rRNA from 1 species
AAAAGACUUAGUCCUAACCUUACUGUUAGUUUUUGCUAGGUAUAUACAUGCAAGUAUCCGCGCUCCGGUGUAGAUGCCCUGGACACCCCCAAGUGGGUAGAUAGGAGCGGGCAUCAGGCUCACCACAACCGUAGCCCAAGACGUCUCGCAAUUGCCACACCCCCACGGGUCAUCAGCAGUAGUUAAUAUUAAGCAAUGAGUGUAAACUUGACUUAGCCAUAGCAAAUCUAGGGUUGGUAAAUCCUGUGCCAGCCACCGCGGUCAUACAGGAGACCCAAAUUAACUUUAUAACGGCGUAAAGAGUGGUCACAUGUUAUCCAAGUAGCUAAGAUUAAAAAGCAACUGAGCUGUCGCAAGCCCAAGAUGCCAAUAAGGCCUCCACAUCAAAGAAGAUC